UAUUAAAAAUUUUAUCAUUUCCUACUGUUAAAAACUAGCAUGGUUAAUGCACGUGUUCCUUAUGGUAACGUAUAUGGAUUAGUUUUUAACCGUAAAAAUGGAUGAAAUUUUUAACA
rfam:Gossypium raimondii Chr05_contig_15, whole genome shotgun sequence.